UGGCGAACGGGUGAGUAACACGUGGGUGAUCUGCCCUGCACUCUGGGAUAAGCCUGGGAAACUGGGUCUAAUGCCGGAUAGGACCAUGCUUUAGUGUGUGUGGUGGAAAGUUUUUUCGGUGUAGGAUGAGCCCGCGGCCUAUCAGCUUGUUGGUGGGGUAAUGGCCUACCAAGGCGGCGACGGGUAGCCGGACUGAGAGGUUGGUCGGCCACAUUGGGACUGAGAUACGGCCCAG
rnacentral:rRNA from 1 species